rnacentral:rRNA from 1 species
UGCAUCGGAAUGAGAACGUAGCGAAAUGCGAUACGUAGUGUGAAUUGCAGAAUUCCGCGAAUCAUCGAGUCUUUGAACGCAAGUUGCGCCCGAGGCUUGUCCAAGGGCAUUUCCGCUAGAGCGUCACCGCGCCCCCCACCGAUCCACUCUCGCCGCGAGGCUUUAGUCGGGUCGAGUGAAAGUGGCCGUCCCGGUUGACGAAGUGGCCUUCGCCACGCUCGGAAGCUGGGUCGGCUGAAAUGGAUGGAAUUGGGCCGCCGUGGUGACACAGUCCGCGAUCGGGUGAUUUCGUCGCGAGCCUCCUCCGGGAGGUUCUCGGUGAAUUUUUCUAAGUGCUUGGCUGCGUCCCCCAGUUGGCUUUGGUUACCUCAUGCAGGUCGAGCGCGCCCCCGCGGCGCGCGUCACGCAUCAGACCUCUAAUC